rnacentral:sRNA from 1 species
GGAUGUGAGGGUCUGGCCAUGACAUUUAUCGCCCCACUGACUGCCAGACUUGAUUCAGCUGGUUAGGCCCGUGUCCCCUUCCUCCUUCAAUGCUCCAUGUGUGCCCCCCACCCCAAGCUCAACACUUGGUGGGAAAGGACAGCCUCUCGCAUAGAGGAGGACUGUAUCAGUCAGGGAUUUACCAGAGGAACAGAUAUAACACAAGAUACGACACAAGUUUACAGGUAUGCUCCACCAUGCCUAGCUUUUGGGGUGACAUUUUUG